UUAAAAAGUAAUAUUGAUUAAUUUACUAAUUAGUUUAAGUAAUAAAAUUAUAAUUUAUUUGAUUAAUCCAUUUUAAUUUUUCGUUCCACAAUAAGGACAAUCAGCACGGAACAGUGGUACACAGUACGCAAACGCUGUUCCAGAAUAUGUACAUUUUGACUGUCUCAGUUUUUUUUAUUAACUUCUUUUUAAAACAGUUAAAUUAAGCUUAUAAAUAAUAUUUUUGACUUAAAAAAGAUAGGUUUAUUGAACAUCAUUAAUAUUUUUAACAUCAAUGCACUCAGUUAUUUAUAUUUCAUGGAAACCUCAAACUCCUAUUAAUAUUUGUUCCGUCAUAGGUACUUUUACCUUACGGACGGUAUCGAGGCGGAUGACAGAAGUGUCACUUGUCGCGAUUCCUCCCGGUUUUUAUACCCGUGGAGGCGCGAGCUCGGGUACGGUCGUCGCGCUUUCGGUCGUCUCCGUCCUCCGCUUUCCCUACUCCCGUGGAGGAGACGGGCGCGUGCGCGGGGAGACAUCGUCGACGCUGCCGUUUGCUCGGUCCUUGGUCGCGGUCAUUAGCACAGAGUUUAGGUGAGAGCUGGCGCUUCGCGCCUUUUCGCCUCCUAGUUAGGGCGAUCGGCGGCUCUCGCGCCGAGGGACGAUGCUUUUCGUCACAAAUCUAUUUUUCAGAUUGCUAAUAACCGCAAUAUUGCAGCGGAAAUGCUAAAUGAUAAAGAAGAUAGAAUGGAUAUUGAAUUUUGAGGAUAUCUCAAAGAAUACUGAACACAAUUUAUUGGAUAUUUUUGAAGAUACAGUGAAAAAUAAUACCGAAAAACACAAAGAAACUGAUACAAACAAUGUACGAAAUGCACAUACAGUAAUGGGAAUUUCUUAAUAGGAUAUGGAAAAUAUUCCAUUAUAUCGUUGUAUAUUAUUAUAAUUUAAUUACGAGUUUUCUUAUUUCUAGUUUAAUAUGGUUUCGCUGGGGUCAUCAAGUAUAAAAAUUGAUGCAAAAAUUUUAAGCAACAUCAACAAAACGAAAGUGGGCCUGAUGACCUGCGGACUGCUUGACGCAUUGUUCGAAGGGCAAGUGCUAACCAAUUUUUCAAGAACCGGAAAAAUAACGAAUAAAGGAGACGAAAAAAAAUCAAUCCAAAACGAUGCAAAAUAUGUUGCGAUAAAAGAUUGUUCUACAAUACUUUGGAAAAACAAUGCCAAAUGUAGACGACAUUUUCAAAAAAGCAGUAUCCGACAAGUGCAAAAAUGUAAGCCGUAGCUUUAAGCAGAAAAUUAAUAAGGAAAUAAAUAUUAAGGACUCUUAAUAAGAAUAAGAAUAAAUGUAUACUCCAUAUCAUAUAUAUACGUAUGUGUUCUUUUUAUAAUUUAUAUAUAUGUAUAUACUCAUUUUUUCUAUUAUAAAUUUUACAGUCCUUUUGGUUAUAUUUUUAAAAUAUUAAGAAUCUUGCAUUUUAAGUAAAUUUGUUUUUAUUUUAUUUUUUAUAUAGACUCUAGUCAAAAGUCAAUUAAGUGUUUGGAUUAGGAAUCAUCGAGCACUAGAUAAACGACAAUCCCAAAA